GCCAUCAUUCAGUUGGGCACUCUAGCGAGACUGCCGGUAAUAAACCGGAGGAAGGUGGGAUGACGUCAAAUCAUCAUGCCCCUUAUGACCUGGGCUACACACGUGCUACAAUGGUUGGUACAACGAGUUGCGAGUCGGUGGACGGCGAGCUAAAUCUCUUAAAGCCAAUCUCAGUUCGGAUUGUAGGCUGCAACUCGCCUACAUGAAGUCGGAAUCGCUAGUAAUCGCGGAUCAGCACGCCCGCGGUCGAAUACGUUCCCGGGCCUU
rnacentral:rRNA from 1 species